GUUAAGCGACUAAGCGUACACGGUGGAUGCCCUGGCAGUCAGAGGCGAUGAAGGACGUGCUAAUCUGCGAUAAGCGUCGGUGAGGUGAUAUGAACCGUUAUAACCGGCGAUUUCCGAAUGGGGAAACCCAGUGUGUUUCGACACACUAUCAUUAACUGAAUCCAUAGGUUAAUGAGGCGAACCGGGGGAACUGAAACAUCUAAGUACCCCGAGGAAAAGAAAUCAACCGAGAUUCCCCCAGUAGCGGCGAGCGAACGGGGAGGAGCCCAGAGCCUGAAUCAGUGUGUGUGUUAGUGGAAGCGUCUGGAAAGGCGCGCGAUACAGGGUGACAGCCCCGUACACAAAAAUGCACAUAUUGUGAGCUCGAUGAGUAGGGCGGGACACGUGGUAUCCUGUCUGAAUAUGGGGGGACCAUCCUCCAAGGCUAAAUACUCCUGACUGACCGAUAGUGAACCAGUACCGUGAGGGAAAGGCGAAAAGAACCCCGGCGAGGGGAGUGAAAAAGAACCUGAAACCGUGUACGUACAAGCAGUGGGAGCCUCUUAAUGGGGUGACUGCGUACCUUUUGUAUAAUGGGUCAGCGACUUAUAUUCUGUAGCAAGGUUAACCGAAUAGGGGAGCCGAAGGGAAACCGAGUCUUAACUGGGCGUUAAGUUGCAGGGUAUAGACCCGAAACCCGGUGAUCUAGCCAUGGGCAGGUUGAAGGUUGGGUAACACUAACUGGAGGACCGAACCGACUAAUGUUGAAAAAUUAGCGGAUGACUUGUGGCUGGGGGUGAAAGGCCAAUCAAACCGGGAGAUAGCUGGUUCUCCCCGAAAGCUAUUUAGGUAGCGCCUCGUGAAUUCAUCUCCGGGGGUAGAGCACUGUUUCGGCAAGGGGGUCAUCCCGACUUACCAACCCGAUGCAAACUGCGAAUACCGGAGAAUGUUAUCACGGGAGACACACGGCGGGUGCUAACGUCCGUCGUGAAGAGGGAAACAACCCAGACCGCCAGCUAAGGUCCCAAAGUCAUGGUUAAGUGGGAAACGAUGUGGGAAGGCCCAGACAGCCAGGAUGUUGGCUUAGAAGCAGCCAUCAUUUAAAGAAAGCGUAAUAGCUCACUGGUCGAGUCGGCCUGCGCGGAAGAUGUAACGGGGCUAAACCAUGCACCGAAGCUGCGGCAGCGACACUAUGUGUUGUUGGGUAGGGGAGCGUUCUGUAAGCCUGUGAAGGUGGCCUGUGAGGGUUGCUGGAGGUAUCAGAAGUGCGAAUGCUGACAUAAGUAACGAUAAAGCGGGUGAAAAGCCCGCUCGCCGGAAGACCAAGGGUUCCUGUCCAACGUUAAUCGGGGCAGGGUGAGUCGACCCCUAAGGCGAGGCCGAAAGGCGUAGUCGAUGGGAAACAGGUUAAUAUUCCUGUACUUGGUGUUACUGCGAAGGGGGGACGGAGAAGGCUAUGUUGGCCGGGCGACGGUUGUCCCGGUUUAAGCGUGUAGGCUGGUUUUCCAGGCAAAUCCGGAAAACCAAGGCUGAGGCGUGAUGACGAGGCACUACGGUGCUGAAGCGACAAAUGCCCUGCUUCCAGGAAAAGCCUCUAAGCAUCAGGUAACAUCAAAUCGUACCCCAAACCGACACAGGUGGUCAGGUAGAGAAUACCAAGGCGCUUGAGAGAACUCGGGUGAAGGAACUAGGCAAAAUGGUGCCGUAACUUCGGGAGAAGGCACGCUGAUAUGUAGGUGAAGCGACUUGCUCGUGGAGCUGAAAUCAGUCGAAGAUACCAGCUGGCUGCAACUGUUUAUUAAAAACACAGCACUGUGCAAACACGAAAGUGGACGUAUACGGUGUGACGCCUGCCCGGUGCCGGAAG
rnacentral:rRNA from 1 species